rnacentral:rRNA from 1 species
UCCUCCCUCUGGCGGCGUGCUUAACACAUGCAAGUCGAACGAAGAGCGACGGAAGCUUGCUUCUAUCAAUCUUAGUGGCGAACGGGUGAGUAACGCGUAAUCAACCUGCCCUUCAGAGGGGGACAACAGUUGGAAACGACUGCUAAUACCGCAUACGAUCUAACCUCGGCAUCGAGGAUAGAUGAAAGGUGGCCUCUACAUGUAAGCUAUCACUGAAGGAGGGGAUUGCGUCUGAUUAGCUAGUUGGAGGGGUAACGGCCCACCAAGGCGAUGAUCAGUAGCCGGGCUGAGAGGAUGAACGGCCACAUUGGGACUGAGACACGGCCCAGACUCCUACGGGAGGCAGCAGUGGGGAAUCUUCCGCAAUGGACGAAAGUCUGACGGAGCAACGCCGCGUGAGUGAUGACGGCCUUCGGGUUGUAAAGCUCUGUUAAUCGGGACGAAAGGCCUUCUUGCGAAUAGUGAGAAGGAUUGACGGUACCGGAAUAGAAAGCCACGGCUAACUACGUG